AAGACUAUAGACCUGCGGAGUACCUGCGGAGGGAUCAUUACAGAGUUCAUGCCCUCACGGGUAGAUCUCCCACCCUUGAAUACUAUACCUUUGUUGCUUUGGCGGGCCGCUUUGGCUACUGGCUCUGGCUAGUAAGUGCUCGCCAAAGAACCCCAAAACUCUGAAUAUUAGUGUCGUCUGAGUACUAUAUAAUAGUUAAAACUUUCAGCAAUGGAUCUCU
rnacentral:misc_RNA from 1 species